UACGUAGGGGGCUAGCGUUGUCCGGAAUCAUUGGGCGUAAAGAGCGCGUAGGCGGCUAGAUAAGUCCGGUGUGAAAGUCACAGGCUCAACCUGUGAAUGCCGCUGGAAACUGUCUGGCUAGAGUCCGGAAGGGGCGAGUGGAAUUCCUGGUGUAGCGGUGAAAUGCGCAGAUAUCAGGAGGAACACCAAUGGCGAAGGCAGCUCGCUGGGACGGUACUGACGCUGAGGUGCGAAAGCGUGGGGAGCAAACAGG
rnacentral:rRNA from 1 species